rnacentral:rRNA from 1 species
CCUGCGCUGAUUGAGCGGCCGAUAUCAGAUUAGCUAGUUGGUGAGGUAAAGGCUCACCAAGGCGACGAUCUGUAGCGGGUCUGAGAGGAUGAUCCGCCACACUGGAACUGAGACACGGUCCAGACUCCUACGGGAGGCAGCAGUGGGGAAUUUUGGACAAUGGGGGCAACCCUGAUCCAGCCAUGCCGCGUGAGUGAAGAAGGCCUUCGGGUUGUAAAGCUCUUUCGGCCGGGAAGAAAUCGCACGGGCUAAUACCCUGUGUGGAUGACGGUACCGGAAUAAGAAGCACCGGCUAACUACGUGCCAGCAGCCGCGGUAAUACGUAGGGUGCGAGCGUUAAUCGGAAUUACUGGGCGUAAAGCGUGCGCAGGCGGUUUAGUAAGACAGGCGUGAAAUCCCCGGGCUCAACCUGGGAACUGCGCUUGUGACUGCUAAGCUAGAGUACGGCAGAGGGGGGUGGAAUUCCACGUGUAGCAGUGAAAUGCGUAGAGAUGUGGAGGAACACCGAUGGCGAAGGCAGCCCCCUGGGCCGAUACUGACGCUCAUGCACGAAAGCGUGGGUAGCAAACAGGAUUAGAUACCCUGGUAGUCCACGCCCUAAACGAUGUCAACUAGGUGUUGGGUGGGUAAAACCAUUUAGUACCGGAGCUAACGCGUGAAGUUGACCGCCUGGGGAGUACGGCCGCAAGGUU